CAUUUUGUUUGCGGGAGCUGAUGCUGAGAUUCCUAAAAGUAAACCGAUGGAUAUUGGAUCGAUACGGCGGUUGCGAUUGCGAUGUCUUUGUGUUUUACUUUUGGGGAAACCGCAGAACCUGAUCAUGAUAAUACAUGCGUGAGGAAAAACAAAAACGACCUUU
rnacentral:ncRNA from 1 species